rnacentral:rRNA from 1 species
GACGAACGCUGGCGGCGUGCUUAACACAUGCAAGUCGAGCGGUAAGGCCCUUUCGGGGGUACACGAGCGGCGAACGGGUGAGUAACACGUGGGUGACCUGCCCUCAGCUCUGGGAUAAGCCCGGGAAACUGGGUCUAAUACCGGAUAUGACUCCAUGACGCAUGUUGUGGGGUGGAAAGCCUUGUGCGGCUGAGGAUGGGCCCGCGGCCUAUCAGCUUGUUGGUGGGGUGAUGGCCUACCAAGGCGACGACGGUAGCCGGCCUC